AAAAACAAAUAAAAAUAAAUAAAUAAUGGGAGCUUUAAUUCUAAAACCUAACUCCAUCUUCAAAAAUCCCCAAAUCCGGCUUCAUUGAGAAAACUAUCACGCCAGAGACCACCGAGAGAAGUUGAAGUCUGGCCAGAGACUAUCACGGGCGGUCCUUCUGAUAUUUAAGGAGUAACAGAUACUUCACAAAGGUUCUCUGGUAAUUGAUAGCAAAUCUGCUUGUCUUGUUGACCUGGAUAUAUUCCCUGAAGACGUACAACGGGGGACAGAUUCAUGAGAACUGUGAUAUUACAGUACAUUUUACAGGAUUUUGGAGGGUUCAGCUUACAAGUCAAGAUGCAAUUUUUUUUGAAGAUUUCGAACAAGUUGACAAAUUGGUUAUCUUUUUUCAAACUGUUAGACGAAUCGUUAUAGUAUUAUUACUAGUGAUGUUAGCCUUUGUAGGCUAAUGAGUAGUGUAAAUAGUAUGACUUUUGUAUUUUUGUAUACAAUGGCAUUGUUAAUUUCAAUUUUUAAUUAAUACUAGUGAUGACUUUGUUUA